AAGGCACAUCAGUUUCCUGGGCUGUACUUCAUGGGCCAGAUUUUUUCAAAGAAGGCUGGUCUGCCAACAGUAACUGCAGUUCCACGAUGGCAGCUCCAUUUCAGUGAGACCAAGGGGAUAAAGGAUUUCACUUGUCUACACGUUUCUAGUAAAGGGGUUGGACCAAACGUGACGUGGCUGGAGGCCUGGGCCAGAGCAGCCGUCGGCGGUGGGUGAGAGGAAAAACUGCUAUGCCAUGCCCAGUCACAAGAGGACACAUCUGCAGGGACAGGGCUGCAUGGGAAGAGAGGAAGAACUCUACAGUCCCUUUCUGGGAGGGCAAGGCAGCUCUAGAUGGAGCAAGGCUACAAGGGAAAUGAGAAGUCAUUGAACAGCCAGAAACACAGUGCUUCUUGCAGUGAAACAUAGAAGGUAUCGGCAGGAGGGGGCCCCAUUUGCCCCAUAACUGCAGUCUGCAACACAAGCAAACUGAAUCCACAGCUAGUGCAUCUUGGACAUGUUUAUCUGGGAAGUUCUUGGCUGGGGAAAAAACUAUUGCAAGUUCUGGGACUGACUUUGCUUUAGUAAUUCUCCCAAUAAUGAACGCAGACAUUCUGAAGAACAAACCAAGCAGUGUUUUCUCCAACAUGAUUCUGAACCUGAGAGCACAUCCUGCACGUACCCUGGGGUGCAGCCAUUGCUACCCAUUCACUUGGCUGCUGAAAACAACUGGGAACCAAUAUUUACUGUGAAUGCUGUGAGAUAACAUUUCAGAAAACGGGGGGAUAAGAAAAUCAAAGAAAACCGUUCCUGAGAACUCUGAGCUCUGGCAGUUCAAUACCUCUGCGCACAAGACUGUAUGUUGCAGUGAACUGGCUCCAGCUAGGUUGCAGUUACGUUUCUAAUUGAGUGCUUUUAUGUCUUGUUUGGACUGCAUGCAUUCUUUAGCAAACUCUUUACACACAGAAUAAUAUUAAGACGAAAAGCUCAAAAUCCUACAAGAAGUUUCCUCUGUUCCCUGAGAAAAAGGGGGGGGGGAGGGGGAACCAACCCAAUAUACUCCUCAGGCUUCAACUCUACAGGAAGAAAUCAACUGACCACAAGAAAGGGUGCUGCUACAGCACAGGCAAAACCUUGAAACUCUUGUGUCUCAUGCUCUGAGUACACUGUAGCAGAUAUGACUAAUAACAUAAGAUUCCCUUACAGGAUCAGCUUCUUCCAUAGACUAGGAAGACCAUUUUCUAUCUUUACUUAAGACUCCAAGCUCUUUGGGACAGGAAGUCUUUCUGUUAGUGUAUGAACAGUGCUUAGCCCAAAAGGGCCUGAUCAGAGUCUACAGGUGUCACUGCAAUACAGAUAAUGCUAUCUAACACUGAAUUCACCAUGCUCACUGACUUCAGCUUUGAAAUUGUGCUUAGUUA